rfam:Schistosoma mansoni strain Puerto Rico chromosome 2, complete genome
GUUCGGCUGAUUAGUUCCAAAUAGGACGAAAUGGGCAUCCUGAAU